rnacentral:lncRNA from 1 species
CCACAUCGAAAGAUAAGAGAAAGAUUUGUUUCCAUAUAAGAAAAUAAAUUACUACCAAUAAUACCUUCAAAUCAUGACCUUUUGGGUGAGUCUGUAGUUGGUUAAGAUGACCCAAGAAAAUACUAUUGGACCCUUAAUUUAAGGCCUUAUUUUGACUGAUUUGAUUCGGACUUGAGAUUUAUUCCGGAUUUGACCCAGGUUGUUUC